ACGUAGGGUGCGAGCGUUAAUCGGAAUUACUGGGCGUAAAGCGUGCGCAGGCGGUUCGCUAAGACAGGUGUGAAAUCCCCGGGCUUAACCUGGGAAUGGCGCUUGUGACUGGCGGGCUGGAGUACGGCAGAGGGGGGUGGAAUUCCACGUGUAGCAGUGAAAUGCGUAGAGAUGUGGAGGAACACCGAUGGCGAAGGCAGCCCCCUGGGCCGAUACUGACGCUCAUGCACGAAAGCGUGGGGAGCAAACAG
rnacentral:rRNA from 1 species